rnacentral:rRNA from 1 species
UAACGCGUUAAGUCGACCGCCUGGGGAGUACGGCCGCAAGGUUAAAACUCAAAUGAAUUGACGGGGGCCCGCACAAGCGGUGGAGCAUGUGGUUUAAUUCGAUGCAACGCGAAGAACCUUACCUGGUCUUGACAUCCACGGAAGUUUUCAGAGAUGAGAAUGUGCCUUCGGGAACCGUGAGACAGGUGCUGCAUGGCUGUCGUCAGCUCGUGUUGUGAAAUGUUGGGUUAAGUCCCGCAACGAGCGCAACCCUUAUCCUUUGUUGCCAGCGGUCCGGCCGGGAACUCAAAGGAGACUGCCAGUGAUAAACUGGAGGAAGGUGGGGAUGACGUCAAGUCAUCAUGGCCCUUACGACCAGGGCUACACACGUGCUACAAUGGCGCAUACAAAGAGAAGCGACCUCGCGAGAGCAAGCGGACCUCAUAAAGUGCGUCGUAGUCCGGAUUGGAGUCUGCAACUCGACUCCAUGAAGUCGGAAUCGCUAGUAAUCGUGGAUCAGAAUGCCACGGUGAAUACGUUCCCGGGCCUUGUACACACCGCCCGUCACACCAUGGGAGUGGGUUGCAAAAGAAGUAGGUAGCUUAACCUUCGGGAGGGCGCUUACCACUUUGUGAUUCAUGACUGGGGUGAAGUCGUAACAAGGUAACCGUAGGGGAACCUGCGGUUGGAUCACCUCCUU